rnacentral:lncRNA from 1 species
GACCGAAAGCAUUAUAUAUGAAAAAAUCAUGAGGGUUAAAAUAAAAAAAAAACAACACAAAAAAAUCCAAAAUAAAAAAAUACAAUAAAAAUAAUGAGUGUUAAAAUUAAAAUAAAAAAUAAAUCAAAAGGCAACAACAAAUUUUAAAUUUGAGAGUUAAAUUGAAAAGAGUAAAAACAUUAAUAAAAAGACAAAAAUCAAAAGAACAAAUGCAAAAAAAAA